rnacentral:rRNA from 1 species
UGGAUUAGCCCGGGGCCUAUCAGCUUGUUGGUGGGGGAAUGGCCUCCAAGGCGCCGACGGGUAGCCGGCCUGAGAGGGUGGACGGCCACAUUGGGACUGAGAUACGGCCCAGACUCCUACGGGAGGCAGCAGUGGGGAAUAUUGCACAAUGGGCGCAAGCCUGAUGCAGCGACGCCGCGUGGGGGAUGACGGCCGGCGGGUUUGAACUCCUUUUUUUUCCCACCAAGCUUUGUGUGACCAUACCUACAUUUCCCCGCCCCCCUAGACCCCCAAACUUC